AUUUGUGAUUUUCACGCCGAGAGUGUUUCUCGAGGAGGUAUAGCACUAAUGAAGGGUUACAAGGC
rnacentral:tRNA from 1 species